rnacentral:rRNA from 1 species
AGUGAACGCUGGCGGCAGGCCUAAUACAUGCAAGUCGAGCAGCCGCACAGUAAGCGUUCGCCUCUACGGGUAGCGAGUGACGGGCGAGUAACGCAUACAUAGGCAUCUAAUAUUACGUGGGUGAUUACGGAGGAAAACAUACGAUAACACCGAAUAUGAUGUACCGGUUAAAUCAAUAGUGAUACGGAGCUUUGCUGACAGAUAUAGAUGGAGCCGGAUUAGCUAGGUGGCGUGGUAAAGGCACACCAAGGCGACGAACCGUAGCGGAUCUGAGAGGAUGAUCAGCCACACUGGAACUGAGACACGGUCCAGACUCCUACGGGAGGCAGCAGUAGGGAAUCUUGGACAAUGGGCGCAAGCCUGACGCAGCCAUGCCGCGUGGGUGAUGAAGGUCUUCGGAUUGUAAAGCCCUGUUGUUAGGAAAGAACAACUGUAUAAUAAACUCUGGCCGUCUUGACGGUACCUAAUGAGAAAGCCACGGCUAACUUCGUG